rnacentral:lncRNA from 1 species
AUGAGCAUUUCCUCCAUCACCUGUACUAAAAAUCUACAGAAGUCUUCCUUCUUUGGCUUGACCACGUGGAGUCACUCUACUUCACAUGAACUCUUUUCUUCCAUGAAAUAUUUCAUCACUUCAUGGUUCAAAGUGAGAGAAGUUCUAUUCUGUGCUUUUCCCUCUGCUACAUUUGAACCCCAGACAAAAUCUGGAAUGGCUUUCAGCAAGAAGGAUCAGGGGAGAAGAAUGAAGGAGAAUAUAGUAAAAGAAAAUAACAUCAAUAUUUUUCAAAAACAAACAAAAAAUGUAGGAAUUUAGAUUCAUUCUCCAGUGAGACAUGGUCAUAAACAAAGGGUCUUUAAAAGGUUCAUGGAUAGUGUAUAUUGUGAAAAAACUAUGGAUUUCAAAAAUUUUUCUGCAUAAAACUUGUUUUUUAAUUCACUUUUUCAAUAAACCUUUUGGAGUACCAAUGUAUCUACA